UGUGCAUGUGAUGAUGAUUUAGCGACCAAAGCCUGAUUGGUUGUGAUUGCACCUUAAGAAUGACUGAUGCACA